rnacentral:lncRNA from 1 species
UGAUCUCAGCCUCCCUCCUCCCAAGUCCCAACACCUCUCUCUCUCCUAUUCACUCCUUGUUCUAUUGUUUUAGGAAACACAUAGUACUCUUCUCUGUCUCUCUCUCUCUCUCUGUCUGCAAACGCAUGUAAAUACCGCUUAAAGCCCUAAAUAGUUCCCCUCCCUUUGUUCUAUUUGUUCCCACUCUACCUAAACCCGCC